rnacentral:piRNA from 1 species
UCACAUUUUAUCUUACCCAUGUGUGCGUGA